GAAGAAAUGGUCAGACAUAAAGGUGGAAGUUAAGCGGAGAACUGCUGCGCACCGACAAAGUGUGGGCAGAACAGGCGGUGGUACAGGGACCGAUGAACUUGCACCCUUUGAUCAGAGAGUUGCCUCUAUUGUAGGAGACACGUUAAUCUCUGGAAUCGUAUCCGCUGAUGUAGGAGACUCGGAUAUACUACAGGACUGCCAGCAAGGAACCGCAGGAACGUCCACUGGCACGCACUCAGAGUCCGCACCACCUGAGCAGCCAGAGCCCAUUCAGUCCAGCGUCUCCCGUGUCUCUAAUGUUCCCCCCAGUGCUGAAGCCCGUCCAUCUGGCCGUGUCUUGACGCAUGCUGUUCUGGAGUCACAACAACAAAUUGUUAGGGCCAUUGAAGAAAUGAACAGUCACCUUAAAAAUGUCACUGACGCACUCACAGAAAUAAGCCAUUCAUUAAAAGAAUUGGUCAAAAAAUGAA